UACGAAGGGGGCUAGCGUUGCUCGGAAUUACUGGGCGUAAAGGGCGCGUAGGCGGAUACUUAAGUCGGGGGUGAAAGCCCAGGGCUCAACCCUGGAAUAGCCUUCGAUACUGGGUAUCUUGAGUUCGGGAGAGGUGAGUGGAACUCCGAGUGUAGAGGUGAAAUUCGUAGAUAUUCGGAAGAACACCAGUGGCGAAGGCGACUCACUGGCCCGAUACUGACGCUGAGGCGCGAAAGCGUGGGGAGCAAGCAGG
rnacentral:rRNA from 1 species